GCGCCUCCUAUUAGAGGAAACAAUAUAUUCCUUCCCUUCUCUCGCCAUUCAUGGUUUCCCUCCAUGCAUCUCGAUCUCCGGUCAGCGAGCCGCGCAGCUGCCCCCGCUCCUCUCGAUCACCGGUGGCCGAGCCCCACCGUGAGCUCGCUGGCCGCGCGCACGCCGGUGGCCGCUGCGAGCCGCCGCGAGCCCGCUGGCCGCGCGCACGGACGAGAGUCGCGUCCCCCGCUGCGAGCCCGCUGCCCGAGAAGAAGCACAAACCGCGCUCCUCUUCGCUCCACCCCUCGCUACGCGUGAACGCCCUCGUGACGCCUCCUCUCGUGCGACGCCCUCGCCAGAUUGGGACACCGCGGCCUCCUCGUGACGCUACCGCUGCAGCCUUGUGCGACAACCUCGCGACUCAUGAGACCUUGCGACACCGUGGCAUCCUCCUCGCGACCUCGGCUCCGUCCUCCUCAAUCUCGAUCCGUCACCACCGAGCCGAUGAUAGCUCCUCCCCCUUCGCAAUGAACACGACCUGCGGCAGCCACUCCUCUCUCUGGCGGGCGGGGCCCCGCACGGCAACCCCAUCACGGGUGGCCUUCCGGCGUGGCGGCGGCUCAGACCCAUGGGGCGAGGCGCAGAUCAUCAAGGUGCUCCCCCUCUUCCUCUUCUCUCACUUGCAGGCUAGAGUGUAGGGUGGAGACGUGGUGGUGGCAUCAGUUUUAACCAGGGAGGAGCUUGGGAUGUACGUGGAAGCAGUCAACAGCAAGGCCCCUGGCGGCCGCCAUGGAGGAGGAUGUGUUGGUCGCCUGACCACUUACAAGGAACGAAUGAAGCAUAAGUUAUGGGUUGAGAAGGAAGAUGAGGCUAGGGAGAAAGUGGGCAGCCUGCUGUAUCUUGGCAACUCCUCGUCGCCACCUGCAGGUGCUUAAAGCUAUGGUUAAAAUGGGCGUCCUUUUUCCUACCGGAGAAGUUUGAAAAGAAGAAGCACAAACUUGCUACAAUCAGUAAUGUUGUGUGACCUACCAAUUUGAAAAGAAGAAGUCCAUGGUUUAUUAUAUCAAUUUUAUUAUGUUGACUCGAAUUAAAUUUUGCAGGAGAGGAUCUUUUGGCGAUAGCUUCUGACCAACCAUUUGUGUUCGAGAUUGUAUUGUUAAAGGCCUUGAUCCUGGUUUGAUAUUACAGAGAUUGCAAAGCCGAUGGGAGCAUUAAUUGGACCUGAUUAAUACAAUUAUGCAGUUACGACCAAACGCAGUUGGCGUCACUUUCAACAAGCAUUAAUUCUAUAGGACGAAGAAGCUGUUAGUUUCAUGUGAUACAACUGAUGCUGAAAAUUUGGAACCUCAGGUGGCCCCAACAUCCCCUGAUCUGCAGGUAGAGUUCUUGGCUAAAUUUGGAUUGAAUAAGCAAUGUUACUACGGUUGAGGCAGCUGAUGGGCAUCUCGGCGAAGUGGCUGGUGCUAAAAAAAUGUGCGGCAGGAACUUUGUGUGUGCCGGCAUUAUUCUGAAUUUAUGAUUCUUAGUAUGGAUGUGUUUCAUGUUUGUUGGUAGUUGUGGCACGGAUUAAGGUGGUGAGCACAGUGGAGAGCCAGCCUAUAGAAGAUCCAUGGACAUCACGGUUUACAUGUACAAUUGGGAACUUAACCAGGUUCAGUGGGAAGAAGCACUACUCAGAGGUUUUUGUUGUUGACAGAUUCAAAUGGUGAGCUCCUGGUCCCCUCAAUUGUCCUGCCUGCAGACAGCUAGAAAUCAUCCAAUUUUUUCCCCCUACCCCUGUUGUCUCUAGAGUAAUCAUCAACAUAACAUCCAUUGACAUUCAUGCAAUCAUGUGCUGAUUUUCCCUGAGAGGAACAAUGUGGACUUCUCAGUUUUUUUAUUAAUUUGGUUGAUAAUUUGCCAC